UCAAAGGAAUUGACGGGGCCCGCACAAGCGGUGGAGCAUGUGGUUUAAUUCGAAGCAACGCGAAGAACCUUACCAGGUCUUGACGUCCCUGACAACCCGAGAGAUCGGGCGUUCCCCGUUCGGGGGGACAGGGUGACAGGUGGUGCAUGGUUGUCGUCAGCUCGUGUCGUGAGAUGUUGGGUUAAGUCCCGCAACGAGCGCAACCCUCGACCUUAGUUGCCAGCAUUCAGUUGGGCACUCUAAGGUGACUGCCGGCUAAAAGUCGGAGGAAGGUGGGGAUGACGUCAAAUCAUCAUGCCCCUUAUGACCUGGGCUACACACGUGCUACAAUGGGCGGUACAAAGGGUCGCGAACCCGCGAGGGGGAGCCAAUCCCAAAAAGCCGCUCUCAGUUCGGAUUGCAGGCUGCAACUCGCCUGCAUGAAGCCGGAAUCGCUAGUAAUCGCAGGUCAGCAUACUGCGGUGAAUACGUUCCCGGGCCUU
rnacentral:rRNA from 1 species